rnacentral:tRNA from 1 species
GGUGAGAUGGCCGAGCGGUCUAAGGCGCCAGACUAAGGAUCAGGACAUAUGAUGUCCAGUCAUUAUAUCUUCAAAGUUGAAGUGUAAUCUGGUCCUCCGGGGCGUGGGUUCGAAUCCCACUCUCAUCA